CCGUGCAAAGGUAGCGUAAUCACUUGUCUUUUAAAUAAGGACUAGUAUGAAUGGCAUCACGAGGGCUUAGCUGUCUCCCUCAUCUAAUCAGUGAAACUGAUCUCCCUGUGAAAAAGCAGGGAUUUUUACAUAAGACGAGAAGACCCUAUGGAGCUUUAAACCAAAAACUACCUGUUUAAUCUGCUACACCAAAAAUAGUACCAAAACAACCGAUCUAGUUUUAGGUUUUCAGUUGGGGUGACUGUGGAGAAAAAUAAAUCCUCCAUGCAGACUAAAGCUUUGAGCGACCGCUCUACGCAUUAGCAAGUCUAACUGCACUUGAUCCAAUCUUUUUGAUCAACGGACCAAGUUACCCUAGGGAUAACAGCGCAAUCCAUUUUAAGAGUCCAUAUCGACAAAUGGGUUU
rnacentral:rRNA from 1 species